UACGUAGGGUGCAAGCGUUAAUCGGAAUUACUGGGCGUAAAGCGUGCGCAGGCGGUUGUGCAAGACAGAUGUGAAAAUCCCCGGGCUCAACCUGGGAACUGCAUUGUGACUGCACGGCUGGAGUGCGGCAGAGGGGGAUGGAAUUCCGCGUGUAGCAGUGAAAUGCGUAGAUAUGCGGAGGAACACCGAUGGCGAAGGCAAUCCC
rnacentral:rRNA from 1 species